rnacentral:rRNA from 1 species
UCUAGUAUAGCAUUAUACAGCGAAACUGCGAAUGGCUCAUUAUAUAAGUUAUCGUUUAUUUGAUAGUACCUUACUACUUGGAUAACCGUGGUAAUUCUAGAGCUAAUACAUGCUAAAAAUCCCGACUUCGGAAGGGAUGUAUUUAUUAGAUUAAAAACCAAUGCCCUCUGGGCUCCUUGGUGAUUCAUAAUAACUUUUCGAAUCGCAUGGCCUUGCGCCGGCGAUGGUUCAUUCAAAUUUCUUCCCUAUCAACUUUCGAUGUUUGGGUAUUGGCCAAACAUGGUCGCAACGGGUAACGGAGGGUUAGGGCUCGACCCCGGAGAAGGAGCCUGAGAAACGGCUACUACAUCCAAGGAAGGCAGCAGGCGCGCAAAUUACCCAAUCCCGAUUCGGGGAGGUAGUGACAAUAAAUACUGAUACAGGGCUCUUUUGGGUCUUGUAAUUGGAAUGAGUACAAUUUAAAUCCCUUAACGAGGAACAAUUGGAGGGCAAGUCUGGUGCCAGCAGCCGCGGUAAUUCCAGCUCCAAUAGCGUAUAUUAAAGUUGUUGUGGUUAAAAAGCUCGUAGUUGAACCUUGGGCCUGGCUGGCCGGUCCGCCUCACCGCGUGUACUGGUCCGGCCGGGCCUUUCCCUCUGUGGAACCUCAUGCCCUUCACUGGGUGUGGCGGGGAAACAGGACUUUUACUUUGAAAAAAUUAGAGUGCUCCAGGCAGGCCUAUGCUCGAAUACAUUAGCAUGGAAUAAUGAAAUAGGACGUGUGGUUCUAUUUUGUUGGUUUCUAGGACCGCCGUAAUGAUUAAUAGGGACAGUCGGGGGCAUCAGUAUUCAAUUGUCAGAGGUGAAAUUCUUGGAUUUAUUGAAGACUAACUACUGCGAAAGCAUUUGCCAAGGAUGUUUUCAUUAAUCAGGAACGAAAGUUAGGGGAUCGAAGACGAUCAGAUACCGUCGUAGUCUUAACCAUAAACUAUGCCGACUAGGGAUCGGACGAUGUUAUUUUUUGACGCGUUYGGCACCUUACGAGAAAUCAAAGUGCUUGGGCUCCAGGGGGAGUAUGGUCGCAAGGCUGAAACUUAAAGAAAUUGACGGAAGGGCACCACCAGGGGUGGAGCCUGCGGCUUAAUUUGACUCAACACGGGGAAACUCACCAGGUCCAGACACAAUGAGGAUUGACAGAUUGAGAGCUCUUUCUUGAUUUUGUGGGUGGUGGUGCAUGGCCGUUCUUAGUUGGUGGAGUGAUUUGUCUGCUUAAUUGCGAUAACGAACGAGACCUUAACCUGCUAAAUAGCCCGUAUUGCUUUGGCAGUACGCCGGCUUCUUAGAGGGACUAUCGGCUCAAGCCCGA